rnacentral:lncRNA from 1 species
UAAUAGUAGCUGCUCCAUGAAGAAAUGUGAGUGAAUUCAUGAGUAAGGGAGAGUGACCAGGGCCUAGACAGAGUCCAGCUCUCAAACUUGGACUUUGCCUGGUCCCCUCAGCCUUCUGUGUCCAGACUCUGCCCAUUCAGGGUCUAGGAUGGAGACCUGUCUUGCUUUUUCCAGAAUUUGACCCUGUCCUCUGUCCCAGGCUUGGGGUCCUACUGUUGGAAACGCUAUAUGGACGACCACUGCCUGCCUACGGGCCACCAGUAAAGACUUCAUGAGUAAGGGAGAGUGACAGGUCUGUACCACCAUGCCUGCCUAAUUUUA